rnacentral:misc_RNA from 1 species
AAGUCGUAACAAGGUUUCCGUAGGUGAACCUGCGGAAGGAUCAUUAACAAAUUCCAAAACUCGUCUUUGCCAGGAGGGAACUGAGGCUCCGGCCGCACGAACCUUCUGGUCAUAUGACAAACACUUACAUUCACAAUUGACAACAACAGGAUUUCCACAAUUUAAAUUGUUUAAACAACUUUUAACAAUGGAUCUCUUGGCUCUU